rnacentral:rRNA from 1 species
UACGAAGGGGGCUAGCGUUGCUCGGAAUCACUGGGCGUAAAGGGUGCGUAGGCGGGUCUUAAGUCAGGGGUGAAAUCCUGGAGCUCAACUCCAGAACUGCCUUUGAUACUGAGGAUCUUGAGUUCGGGAGAGGUGAGUGGAACUGCGAGUGUAGAGGUGAAAUUCGUAGAUAUUCGCAAGAACACCAGUGGCGAAGGCGCUCACUGGCCCGAUACUGACGCUGAGGCACGAAAGCGUGGGGAGCAAACAGG